rnacentral:lncRNA from 1 species
AUGGAAAGUGAAAAGAUAAGUAGAUAGAAGAAAAGAGGAAAAUACUCUAGAAGGACUAAUAAAACCACACUUUCGUUUUUUACACAGAUAACCAAAAAGAACCUGACAAGGUGAAUCAUGAAUCACUAAUGCUGUAAUUACAAAAGAGCAGUGUCACUGGCUACUCCAAACACUGCUUAUUCAGGAAGCCAAGAGGCCAUGCAGCAAUGGAGACUGGGACCAUUUUUUGCAUACAGAAGAAAUUGAAGCUGAAUCUAAGAGUUUACCCUGAAAAAAUGAUGAGAUAAAGAAAAAGAAACAUCAUUACUAACAGUGGAGAGAGCAUGAGUUUUUCACCUGCCUAUUUUAGUAGAAUGAACAGAGAGCCCAAGAGGGAAAUUACUCCAAAGGGAGACUGGAUAUCCAUACAACAACAACAACAACAACAACUACUGUUUGGUCUCUUUGUCAGAGUCCACACAAAAUCAAACUCUGGUAGAUUAUAUAUCUAUAUGUGAAAAUCACAAGUUUCAGAAGAUCAUAUAGGAGAAUACCAUCAUACUCUUGGGGUAGGAAAAUAAAAUGAAUGAAAUUGAAAACCA